ensembl:lncRNA FAM182B family with sequence similarity 182 member B
AGUGCUUGUGUGUCGGGGCUCUGAGGCUCCGGCCUGACCUCUCCACGGGGUCGACGGGAAGGUUUCCGGAUGCCAGGAGUCGCAAAGGGCCGACCAGGAUGAGGAAACCCCAGGCGGAGUCCUGGGGAAGCAGCACGGCAUCCCAGCCUCAGGCCUGCCGGGAUGGUGUUGGUUGGGUUGAGUCUCCCCAAAAGUCGUGCCGCCGUCAGAGAUCUCGAAGACAGGUAAGAUUGGGGAAGAUGCCAGGUGAUAGAAUCCACCCUGCCUCUGACAGCAUCCAAUCUGGAGCAAAGGCUUCUUUCAACCUUCCCCCAAGCUCCCAAUACAAGCCCAAAUUCUGGAACAAGUCCUUUCCAACACCUCCUUCAGAGAAGCUCCCUGGCUCCAGGCAGUGCUUGCUCCCCUCACUGCAGCAGGAAGCCUAACUUGCGAACUGCAGGUGUGCUCCAGGUGGUCACUGGAUGCAAGAAAUGGUGCGAGAACUUUGGAUGUGGAACGUGGAGGAGGAGGAACACGAAGUGGGGAUCUGCACUUGGGGUGGUCAGCACUGCGGAUGCCCAGCAAAGUCACUGCCUGGUCCACAUCCCGGAGGGGUCUCUGCGCCUCAGUCGGCAUCGCAGCUGAUGGUGAAACUUUUGGUGUGGCAGAAGAGUGUCCACAAACUUCGGAAGUUGCUAGAGAAAACUGAAAACUACUAGUUUUGAAAGCCUCACUUCUGCCAAUGGAAGCACAUUCCAGCAUGUCGCCAACGCAAUCCACUUUCCACCACUUUCACAAAAAACGUUACUGCACAAUUAUACUAUCCUACCCU